GACGUAGGGGGCAAGCGUUGUCCGGAAUCAUUGGGCGUAAAGCGCGUGUAGGCGGCUUCGUAAGUCCGUUGUGAAAGUCCAGGGCUCAACCCUGGAAUGCCGAUGGAUACUGCGGAGCUAGAGUCCGGAAGAGGCGAGUGGAAUUCCUGGUGUAGCGGUGAAAUGCGCAGAUAUCAGGAGGAACACCAAUGGCGAAGGCAGCUCGCUGGGACGGUACUGACGCUGAGACGCGAAAGCGUGGGGAGCAAACAGG
rnacentral:rRNA from 1 species